GACAGAGGAUGCAAGCGUUAUCCGGAAUGAUUGGGCGUAAAGCGUCUGUAGGUGGCUUUUUAAGUCCGCCGUCAAAUCCCAGGGCUCAACCCUGGACAGGCGGUGGAAACUACCAAGCUGGAGUACGGUAGGGGCAGAGGGAAUUUCCGGUGGAGCGGUGAAAUGCGUAGAUAUUGGAAAGACCACCAAUGGCGAAGGCACUCUACUGGGCCAUUACUGACACUGAGAGACGAAAGCUAGGGGAGCGAAUGGG
rnacentral:rRNA from 1 species